CACACACACUCAUGCAAGCAGCUAUGGGCUUACCUAAAAAAUUAUUUGAAAAAAUAUUCACUCUGUUUGUGUCUAUUUUACGUUAUAGGUGCUGUGAGAAAAUGCGGCUCCACCAGAUCCGCCA